AGUAUAACCCGCCUCCCCAAGGUUGUAUCUGCAAACUGGAUCAUUUUUACACAUCUGUAUGUUUCAUUGGUACAUACAUGCACAAGGUUUGCAUUCCAGAGUUACUUUACAGGGCAAUGAUUUGCGAAAUGAAUCUCAUAACAUCCACAAACUCCAAGUUCUUCUGCAGGUCCCAGUCGUACUCCUGAUGGUGCCACCAAUAAUCCUUACUAAAAACCUACACAGAGUGCACACAAAGCGCGAAUGCUUUAAAGUUGUUAGAACUUCUCACAGACAGAAUUUUUUUCUUUUUUUCGUUUCUUUUUUUCUUUCUUUUUUUGUUUUUUACUUUUCUUUUUUAGUAAUGCUCUAGUCUCCUCCGACCCGGGCGGGGCUCUAGUUGCUUCCAAGCCCCAUCCUCCCGGUUGCCCCUCCCAUUCACCAGUGCCUUACCUGGUGGGAUCCCCAGUUUUACUCAUCACCGUGCAGGUCCAUGUAUUCUGUUGGAAAACUGUCUUCCCGCUGUCCAUAUACUUCAGUUGGGUGGCACAGCUGGGUUUCGGGGUCCCCCGGCGCGUGGCCGGGAACCGGCAGUGGUGAGAUGGGCGGCUGUCUUUUAGUCUUUACCGGGAUCAUUUUUUCCAUUUUUUUGGGCAAGGGGAGGAUUUGUUGUGAGGUCAUUAAAAGCUGUGCGCGUUCCCGCGGGCAGACGUCCGGACUUUCUUCUAUCAGCUGUGCGCUUCAACGAAACAGCUGUAGCCCCCAGCACCCACCAGAGGGCAGUAGACACCGGUUUUGGGCCACUCCCCUCCCGCUGAAAGGAUAACCGUCUGCGGGCGCUUAAAUUUUCAAUUCCCGGUUUACUAGCCGACUAUCUGGAUUCUUACAGCUCUAGAUUAUCAAGUGGGGACAAAGCUUUUGGUCAUUAGAGCUUUCUGUGUGUUUAUUCUGAAUAGUAGUAGUUUCUGAAGAGUGCUGGGUAGCUAUGGGGUUCCCUAUGCCUACUUGACCUACCGUCAGUUUUAGGUUGACCAAACCGUGUUGGACUCUGUAAGUGAAGAAAGCGAAGGCGGUGUGUGGACUGGCAAGGAACCAUGACAGGAGUAAUCCAUGUGCAGUGAGGUAAAAUGCCAGACACCGAAGCAAGCCUUGAAAGUGUAAUAGGAAAUGGUGGAUGAAUGCUUUUGAUUUGUCAUGGGGUAAGAUUUUAUGAGCGUUAAGAUGAUCGUUGUUAAGGGAACCUUCCUCAUUUGCUUCUCAGAAAAUGUUAGAGGGCAUCUGAACUAUUACACUUCUGAGACGCCACCUGGGCCUAGUAUUUGCAUUUUUUAAAUUCAAUUCAUCAUUUGUAAAUUCUGUUUUAGUUAAAUAUUUUGUUAGAUAUUUCUCAAUUUAUUAUUAUCUUCAAGACUGGUACAUUUAUAAUAAAGGCUACUAGUUGUUUAA